rnacentral:tRNA from 1 species
GCCGAGAUGGCUUAGUGGUAGAGCACCUCCUUGGUAAGGAGGUGGUUGUGGGUUCGAUUCCCACUCUCGGCU